GACGAACGCUGGCGGCGUGCUUAACACAUGCAAGUCGAACGGAAAGGCCCCCACUUUUUUGGUGGGGGUGCUCGAGUGGCGAACGGGUGAGUAACACGUGGGUGAUCUGCCCUGUACUUCGGGAUAAGCUUGGGAAACUGGGUCUAAUACCGGAUAGGACCAUGGUUUAGUGUCUCAUGGUGGAAAAAUUAUUGUUUUGGUGCAGGAUGAGCUCGCGGCCUAUCAGCUUGUUGGUGGGGUAAUGGCCUACCAAGGCGUCGACGGGUAGCCGGCCUGAGAGGGUGGACGGCCACAGUGGGACUGGGAUACGGCCCAGACUACUACGGGCGGAGGCAGUGGGGAAUAGUGCACAAUGGGCGCAAGCCUGAUGCAGCGACGCCGCGUGGGGGAUGACGGCCUUCGGGUUGUAAGCUCCUUUCGUUAGGGACGAAGCCGCACCUUUUUUGGGUGUGGGGACGGUACCUUUGUUAAGAAGCACCGGCUAACUACGUG
rnacentral:rRNA from 1 species